UUUUUUAGAGGGACGCCUGGAUGGCUCAGUCAGUUAAGCAUCUGCCUUCGGCUCGGGUCAUGAUCCCAGGGUCCUAGAAUCAACCCCCGUGUCAGACUCCCUGCUCAGCAGAGAACGUGUUUCUCCCUCUCCCUCUGCCUGCCACUCUGCCUACUUGGGCUCUUUAUCUCUGUCAAAUAAAUAAAUCUUUAAAAAAAAAAAAAAGAUUUUGGGGGUGCCUGGGUGGUUCUGUGGGUUAAAGCCUCUGCCUUCGGUUCAGCUCAGGAUCCCAGGGUCCUGGGAUCGAGUCCUGCAUCACAAGGAGCCUGCUUCUCCCUCUGGCUGCCUCUCCCCCUGCUUGUGCUCCCUCUAACAAAUAAAAUCUUGAAAAAAAAAAAAAGAGAGAGAGAUUUUAUUUUAUAAGUAAU